AUGUGGACAUUAAAUAUUGGGGGGAAAAGAGAAAAUCCACAGCACAUUUUGAAGUCCUUUCAGAACAAAUUUUGUGGAACUUCUCUGCACAUCUUGACUGACGAAUCUGAAUCUUGGUUGCUGGUUGGUGAAAUGAGAAUCUUCAGGCCCAUGGAAGUAUUUCUCAAAGAUGAGGAACCUUUUAUUUUCAGCUGUCUGAGAACUACAUUCAAAAGACAGCGCCUAUGGGACUGCUGGAGCUCUCUCCGAUCCCCAGAGAGACAGCUGAAGCCUUCGGAUAACGGACAGACUUUCUUUGACAUCAGGAAACAAAACAGCAUUUUGAAGGAUAACAGAGAGAGAGUGAAGUCAGAAUGAGUUUUACUUCAAAAUAUUCAAGAAUUCUAUCAAUCAUUCAAG
rnacentral:lncRNA from 1 species